rnacentral:rRNA from 1 species
UACAGAGGUCUCAAGCGUUUGUUCGGAUUCAUUGGGCGUAAAGGGUGCGUAGGCGGCGCGGUAAGUCGGGUGUGAAAUCUUGGAGCUUAACUCCGAAACUGCAUUCGAUACUGCCGUGCUUGAGGACUUGGAGAGGAGACUGGAAUUCAUGGUGUAGCAGUGAAAUGCGUAGAGAUCAUGAGGAAGACCAGUGGCGAAGGCGGGUCUCUGGACAGUUCCUGACACUGAGACACGAAGGCCAGGGGAGCAAACGGG